UAAAACACACGUGGUGAAAUCAAGAAGAAGAAAUCAUAAGAAAUAAAGCAAAUCACUCACUUAUUUUGUUUACGACGAAUUAAGAAAUUAAAAGAAGAAACCUACAAAACAAUAUGUAAUGUGAUGGUGCUAAAAUUGUAUUCUCUUGCCUGUGUAAAAAACCAACUGUGAUCAAAGUCUUCCUAAAGGUUCAGUGGUGACUGUCCUUAGUGAGUGACUACUGCACAGAUGAACGGUUACCAGGAACGGGCAACGAAGGGCAGUAAAAGCGACGCGUCAAACUGCACAACUUAAACUGCAUGUAUGUACAUGCGAGUGAAGGGAAGGGAAGACGCCGCCAGAGCAGGAUGGCGUUAGCUGGAGAGAGCGAGAAAUCGAAAGGGGAUCAGAAGAGGAGUAGCUUUCCAUCUCCUUGCAACGCACACAGACACACGCGCAGCCACACACUUGGGCUCGGAUACAGCUACAAAC